rnacentral:tRNA from 1 species
GGUUGUGGCUCAGUGGUGGAGCGCUGGCCUGGCACAUGCGGGGCCUUGGGUUCGAUCCUCAGCACCA